rnacentral:lncRNA from 1 species
UUGGUUUAUAGAAGACCGGAGAAGAAUGAAAAAAAAUUCAGAAAGAGGUUCGGGUUGAAGUUGCUCUAUUAUAAAAGAGGGGUGGGGUAUAAUCAUCUUUUUUUUAAUAAAUCUUAUUUCACCCCCACAUUUUUCUAUUUAGUUUUUCUCUUUUUGUAAUUGUAUCAGUCUUUGUUAAGGAGGCAGAUUUAUGGUAAAAGUUCUCAAUAAAUAAUACCGGAUUAACAGCAGCCUGUAUUGAAGCAGAUUACGAAUUAUUUGAAAUAUUAUAUG